CGUAAAUGCAUUCUAAACUAUCUGGGGUAUCCGUCACCCCAAUCCUGUGACGAUAUAAAAAUACAACGGCUCCUAGAGCUAAAUCAGGUAGUUUAGGCAUAUGUCGAUCAUUAUCGCGUUUUCUCCUAAGUCAUUUCCAAGUCCCACAUGUAUAAACUAUUUAAUUUACUAUUUCAUGCUCCAAAUUCAGAUUUGCAGUUUACCUAAUAAUCCAUGAAUUCGAGCUAACAUAACUAUACAAAAAUCGGACAUUUACACAUGUUGACUACUACGCACUUAGGAGUAAAACCGAUGUAAACCCACCUCAAAGCUAAUCCCUGGCAACGAAGAAGUCACCUAAAUUCAGCCGAGCCCGCUCUCAACCAGCAAUCGUAACUCUCCAAUAAUCUGAACCACAAAAGCAUUAAACAUGUAUUAAUCUUUCAAAAUCAGCACUUAAGCUAAAUCCUUCUAGUACGAUGCAAACCUCACCUUCCGAAUCUCAAUCCUGGUGAUGCGAGGUUCCAAAUCCAGGGUGGGAUGGUGAUGUACAUAGCUCAGGUCCCAAUCCCAAUUCCCUUCAUGAUUUACACCAAAAGAAUCCAAGAAAACUCAAGUUCAGGUUCAGAUUCACAGCAGUGGAGUAAAACAGAGGUUCGACCCAGCUAACCUUCUUCAAAUCCAGCAAUCUUGGGCUCUGUAGUUUCCUCUUGAAGUCCCGAAUCCAGCGAACCAAGUUUCGCCGCGAUCCGAUGCUCCUACGUCGCGUACGAGCCGAAACACUGACGGUCGACGCUGAAAAUCAGUAAAAUCAGCACGCGAGCUCAAAACCGUGCGUUCAAGUUAUCCCAGGAGGAAAGUUAGAUACCCACCUCGACAGCGAAUCUAGCGCCGGUGCGACGUCGAGGACGGCGAAAACACCCACUCGCCCGGCCUCCUCGCGAUGUAAUGGCAGCAACCAUAUCCCCGGACGGCUCCGCGGCGCGACGUCCGCAACGAAAGCUCCAUCCGAGUUCCACCUAUUCGAUCAAUGCUAGAGAAAGAGAGAAGGAGAAGAGUAGCAAAGUAGCUCUCUCUCUCUCUGCUCCUAAACGUAUAAAGCAAGGGGUGGAAUAGGUGAUACAAACAAGGCAAGAUAAAAUUACUAAAAAACCCCUCACCUACUCAAGUGUACUGGUACACGGGCCUCUGUAUUGGUACACAUGCCAACCCGAGAGCAGUCUGCGCGCAACCUACUGAAGUGUACCGGUACACCUUGAUGGCUGUACCGGUACAGCAAGCAGAAAAACUGCUAUUUUGCAGAUUUCUUCGCGGAAAGCUGCCCUCGCGUGGCACGGAGUCCGUUUUGCCUCUAUUUGGCGCCAACGCGACUCAGACUUGUGCCAACACUCUACAGAGCCGUCGACAAGCCUCCACAGCAGAACACCAAGGAUCUCACAUCCUUACCCACUACAAAAAGUUUCGUCCGCGAAACUUAAGCAUACCUCAACUCAGGUCCACAAACAAAUAAGGAUAGGCCUCCCUCAUCAUCGUCUCAGGCUCCCAAGUCGCCUCCCGCUCUUUGUGAUUGCUCCACUGCACUUUCACAUGCGGGACGACCCUGUUGCGCAAUUCUUUCAUCUCUCGAGCAAGAAUCCGCAACGGUCGCUCCUCGUAUCUCAGAUCCCCGCUAAUCUCUAGUGGAGUGAAGUCGAUUACGUGAGUGGGAUCGAAAAUGUAUCUCCUCAAUGCUGAGACGUGGAAAAUAUCGUGGAUGCCAGCAAGUCACGGGGGUAGAGCUAUCCUGUAUGCAACCGGUACAACUCGCUCUAAUACCUCGAAAGGGCCAACAAACCGUGGACUGAACUUUCCACGUACCCCAAAUCAGCGAAUCCCUCUGGACGGCGAGACUUUGAGGAAAACAUGAACUCGGGUCCAAGUGUCCUCCUCUCACCCACAUCACUCCAAAAUAGAGGGGAUCGACAUCUGCAUUCAUACAACGCUUCAAACAGAGCCAUUAGAAUGCUCGUUUGAUAGUUGUUGUCGUACGCAAACUCAACUAGUCUCAUAUGUCGAUACCACACUCUUCCAAAAUCCAGGACGCAUGCCCUCAGCAUGUCCUCUAGAGUCUGUAUGGUCCCCUCUGACUAACCAUCUGUCUGUGGGUGGAACGCCGUGCUGAAAUGCAACUAAGUGCCCAAGGCUGUCUGUAGACUCCUUCAAAACUGAGAUACAAAUCUCGGGUCUCUGUCUGACACAACCGACACUGGCACACCGUGUAGCCUGACGAUCUCAUCCAGGUAUAGCUGUGCGAGUCUCUCUCUCUCGACCAGGUAGUCUGAACCGGUAGAAAGUGAGUAGAUUUGGUCAGUCUGUCCACUAUAACCCAGAUCGCGUCACAACCACUCUAUGCUCUAGGCAACCCCACGACGAAGUCCAUCGUAAUCUACUCCCACUUCCACUCGGGCACUGGCAGACUCUGAAGCUUGCCAGCAGGUACCUGAUGCUCAGCCUUCACCUGUUGGCAAGUCAGACACUGAGCCACAUAUCUGCCAAUGUCUCUCUUCAUUCCAUGCCACCAGAACCGUGCCUUAAGAUCCUUAUAUAUCUUGGUUCCCCCAGGGUGAACCGUAUAAGGAGAACAAUGAGCUUCUCUCAGAAUGUCCGCUCGGAUCUCAGAAUCCACGGGCACACACAGCCGGUCCCUGUACCGUAGUACUCCCGAACUGUCCAAAGCAAAACCCUCAGCCUGCCCCCUGUCUAGCUGCUCUCUAAUCCUCAACAAGUACGGAUCUCCACUCUGUUUCUCUCGGAUCCUAUCCAAUAGAGUGUGCUAUAAAACUAGAGACGUCAGCCUCGCCGUAGACCCAGGGGGUACUAUUUCGAGUCCCAGCCGCUGUAGCUCCUCGAGUAGGGGUCGCUGCUCAGUGAUUGUCAAACUCAGGCUCUGCACUGACUUCCUGCUCAACGCAUCUGNCGGUCCCUGUACCGUAGUACUCCCGAACUGUCCAAAGCAAAACCCUCAGCCUGCCCCCUGUCUAGCUGCUCUCUAAUCCUCAACAAGUACGGAUCUCCACUCUGUUUCUCUCGGAUCCUAUCCAAUAGAGUGUGCUAUAAAACUAGAGACGUCAGCCUCGCCGUAGACCCAGGGGGUACUAUUUCGAGUCCCAGCCGCUGCAGCUCCUCGAGUAGGGGUCGCUGCUCAGUGAUUGUCAAACUCAGGCUCUGCACUGACUUCCUGCUCAACGCAUCUGCAACAACAUUCGCCCUGCCGGGGUGAUACUGAAUACUAAUGUCAUAGUCCUUCAGUAACUCCAACCACCGGCGCUGCCUCAGGUUCAGCUCCCUUUGUGUGAACAGAUACUUGAGACUUUUAUGAUCGGUGAAAACCUCGCAGUGCUCGCCGUACAAGUAAUGCCGCCAGAGCUUCAAAGCAAAAACCACCGCGGCCGGCUCCAAGUCAUGCGUAGGGUAAUUCUUCUCAUAAUCCUUUAACUGCCGUGAAGCAUAAGCAAUUACCCUACCAUGCUGCAUUAGCACACAGCCAAGUCCACUGUGUGAUGCAUCACUAUAGAUCACGAAUCUAUACCCCAUCACCAGAAGGGCAAGGAUAGGAGCCGACGUCAACCUCAGUCUCAACUCGUCAAAGCUCCUCUGACAGUCGUCGCUCUAGACAACACGAAUCCCCUUCCGCGUCAAGCGAGUGAGGGGUGUGGAAUGCUUCGCAAAGCCUUCCACAAACCAACGGUAAUAUCCUGCCAGUCCCAGGAAACUCCGCACCUCCGUCACCGUCGUCGGUCUAGGCCAAUCUCGAAUCGCCUCAAUCUUCUUCGGGUCCACUGCUACUUCCUCAGCUGAAAUCACGUGGCCCAAGAAAGCAACCUUCCGUAACCAGAACUCGCACUUCUUUAAUUUGGCAUACAACUCCUUCUCUCGCAGAAGCUGUAGCACAAUCCUCAAGUGCUCCUCAUGCUCAGCAUCACUCCGGGAGUAAAUCAGAAUGUCGUCGAUGAAGACUACCACAAACCUAUCCAAGAACGGCUUGAACACUCUACUCAUCAAAUCCAUGAAUGCGACAGGGGCAUUCGUCAAUCCAAAAGGCAUCACUGUAAACCCAUAAUGCCUGUACCGAGUCCGAAAAGCCGUCUUAGGAACAUUCUCGGCCCUCACUGUCACGCCCCGGAUUACACUUUCUCCGGGCGCGCCGACAAAUCCGCCCUAUACAAAGGAAUUUCCCCUGUAUACGAAGCGAUAGCUGUACCUGUAAAACAAACACUACUACGAACAGUAGUAGAGAGCUGCUAGAGAAAACAGAAGCUAACAAACUGAGUUUCAUAUACAUAGUCCAGAUCCAAAAUACAAAGCUACUCGCACUGGCGAGUUAAGUCCACUAUGUACAUAAACUCGAAACAAAACAUCUACCUGCAGUAGGGGCACCUCUAGCUCAGCACGUCGGGUAGGGCUCUAACUUGCGACGCCCUUGCCUCGAUCCUGAUCCGCGGAAGGCGCAGCAGCCGAAACCUGUGGCUCUGCAAAACAGGGGGUAACAACUGGGCGUGAGAACUACUGUAAAAACAAGUAGUCCUCAGUGGGUACUGCCCAAAAUAAUAUCGGUCCACCCACUAAGCCUACAGAAGGGAACAGGAAUAGUAGUAAAAUGCAGGAAUAAAGUCUACCGCUAUCAAACACUACACUAUCAUGCUCUACACUAACCAACUGUAGAAAAUAUCCAACCUGACCCAAUCCAAUCGGGACUGUAAGCAUACCCGUCCCCGGGACUGUGAAUACACCCGUCCCUGCCCCGUUGCGACUAUCAAGCUCUAUCCACACUAACUGGUCCGUGGAGAGCAAGUCCAACUGGCAUGAGCGACACCAACGCGAAAGCACAAAGCCCAACUCCGGAGUGGCACUCGUGGGCGCUACCCAACCGAGUAUGCAGCGUAUCUCUGUCGAACUCAAUCAGGCUACAACUAGCCAAACUCAAGUGAACAGGGUCAAAACAGGUCUACAAACCAAACCCACGUGCCCUCGGCACAAUCUGUGACCAAAACAAGAAUCUGGGUCCACCGUUAUCCCGAACGGCACCCAACGACCCGAAACAGCCUAUACUCUGCUGAAAAAUAAGCUCGGCACCCCAGCACGAGCGUAAAUGCCUUCUAAACUACCCCAGAUAUCCAUCGCACUAAUACUGCAACGAUACAAUCGAAUCACGGCUACUAGAGCUAAAUCUGGUAGUUUAAGCAUAUGACGGGUCAAAAUGCAGGUUUUCUCCUAAGUCAAAUUUCAAGUCCAACAUGUAUAAUUUAAAUAUUCAUUUCAGCAUGCUUCUACAUUCAUAUUACAUUCAAGAUGCUAAUCGAUGAAUUAAAGCAUGAUAUACAAAAAUCGAACUAUACACGUCGACUAAACAUGCACUUAGGAGCGAAACCGAUGAUACACCCAUCUCGAGAGCAAAUUCCUGGCAGCACGGAACUCCCUCGGCUGCGGCACAACCUGCUGGAUCGACUGGAAAUGUCCGAGUCUCAAAAUUAAGCUAUCUCCAAGCUAUCAACAUCAAAAUCCACAAUUCAGUCCAAAUACACAGCAGCAGAGAAGAGAAGGGUUUCGACCAAGCUAACCUUCACCAAAAUCCACAAGUAAGGACUUCGUGGAUUUCUCUCGCAGUCCCGAAACCAACGAAUCAAGUCUUGUCGAAAUCCGAUGAUCCUACGUCGAGUACGAGCUGAAAUACUAACAGUCGACGAUGAAGUUCAGCAAAACAACACUUAAGCUUAAAUAUCCCAAUUCCAAUGUCAAAACUCACCUAAUGAACUCCAAAUCAGGUGAAGAGGGUCCCAAUUCCAGUACUGGGUGAUAGGGAAGGUGACUCAACUCCACAAAGCCCCUGCUUCCAAAGUUCACCCCAAAAAGAACACAAAAACUUACAAUUCUGUCCACAGCAACAACAGCAGAGGAAAACCUGAGUUCGACUAAGCUAACCUCAACUAAAAUCUGCAAUUUAGGGCUUCGUGGAUUCCUCUGGAAGUCAAGAAUCCAGAAAACCAAGUUUCGUCAAAAUCCGACCUUCCUACGUCGCGCACGAGCCAAAACACUGGAGGUCGUCGCUGAAGAACUGCAGAAUCAGCACUCCAUUAAGCUGGAUCAUGGAAGUUUGAUGCAAUUUGAGGCAAAUCCGAGGGUAGAGAUGCUAAAAGAGGCUUCUCUGUGAAGAAGGGAGGAAAAGAGCUCCCCAGGGACACUUCUCAGCUAUUUAUAGGGUGAAAAUAGGAUCAGAUGGACCUCAAGAACAAAGCUUGCAAUCUGCUGUCCCCGCAGAAACAGGCGUUUCUGGGCGCCCGGAACCAUGUUCUGGGCGACCAGAACAUCCCGACUGCACAAACCGGGCUCCUCGGACUCUCCGCUCGCGGUGUGCUGCGCCCGUAAAUGGCUCCGGCGGAACUCACCUACCGCCCUGCCACGCGUCGAAGCAAGCGAUAUUCACGAUGUCGAAUUUCCGGACCCACAUCUGGGCGCCCGGAACAUGGGAUCCGAAUUGGCUUCCAGUUUUAGUUAAAUUCAACACUCGUUUCUGGGCGACCCUAACAAUGUUCUGGGCGCCCGAAUCUGGCAAAACUCCAGUUUUGCUUAUUUGAGUGCGCCGAGUCCAAUUCUGCAUCCAAUUCGUGCAGAAUUGCCUCCGACUCAGUCCGACACUCUCCAGAGAUGUCGACCAGUCUAUAAUACUGAAGCCAAUCCUAUCCAAAGCUCAGGAACACUACACUCACCUUUAGCUGGUGGUAACCUGACUGGAGAUUAAUCUUUGAAAAGACACAAGAUCCUUGCAGCUGAUCAAACAGAUCAUCAAUGCGCGGCAAGGGAUACUUAUUCUUGAUGGUCACUUUAUUCAGCUCCCUAUAAUCCACACACAGUCUAAGUGACCCAUCCUUCUUCUUCACAAACAACACUGGCGCUCCCCAAGGCGACACACUGGAUCUCACAAACCCUCUACCCAUCAAAUCUUGAAGCUGUGCCUUUAGCUCUCUCAGCUCUGCCGGCGCCAUCCGAUAAGGUACCUUCGAGAUUGGUGCAGUUUCAGGAACUACAUCAAUCACAAACUCAAUCUCCCUCUCCGGCGGCAACGACAUCAACUCAGGGGGGAAAUACAUCCGGAAACUCGCAGACUACAGGGAUAUCCUCGAGUUCCGGCGCCGCCGUAGGUACCUCCACAACUGUCGUUAGGAAAGCGAUACACCCACUACUCAGCAUCUGUCGAGCCCUCGCUGAAGAUAUCCAUGUAGCAACCAACGUGCUCCUGCAGCCUCUAAAGUGAACUCCUCCCGGCCUGGCUUGCGGAACGUCAUCGUCCUCACUUCACAGUCGAUAGUAGCCUAGUACCGCGUCCGUCAAUCCAUACCGAGUACGACGUCGAAGUCCUGCAGCUGCCCUAACACCAACAGGUCUACGGCAAAAUCCAAGAAUCUAGCUACACCGGACAAGACCAACCACACUCCGCAACCUAUAACACAUAGUCGGGGAUCUGCACCUCUCGUGCCAAAAAUAAUGACCCUAACUCUAGACCAUGCAACAAUGCAAAUGCUCGGCUCACAAAAGAAUGGGAGGCAUCAGUAUCAACUAAAGUAUAAGUACAUAUGCCGAAAAUUAAAAUAAUACCUGCCACCAUACGGUCGGCUGCUGAAGAGUCCUCCUGGCGGUAGCUCGGUGGUGCUCCAAAAGCCUGCUGGUCAGCUGGCUGCGCUGAUGCCAUGGAUAGUGCUGGUAAUGUCGCUCUAGGACACGCUGACCUCACAUGUCCUAGCUGUCCACAAGUGUAGCAGCGGCCCUCUUUCUGCUCACACUGUCUGGGCCAGUGUGGUCCCCCACAAAUCACGCACCACAGUGUCCUCGGUGACGGUCCUUGCUGAAGCGAUCUCCUGGAAUGCUGACGCCCUGAUGAACCACGACCCUGAGAGCCAGAUCGAGAAAACCUCAGCAGACGUCUGCUACUUGUCUGUCCUCCAUCAUUUGGAAAAGGGCGCUUCCUAUCCUGGCUUUGCCCUGGUGCCGUAAUCCGCUCCUGGACGGUGUAACUCCGUGUCCCACCCAGAGUGCCUGCUGCACAGAUGCUCCUGUCUCAACGCCCGACCGCUGAGUGAUAAUCUCAUAAAUCCUCUACAACAAUACACUCUGCUGCUUGAUCACCUCUGUCAGGGCAGCCAAUUGCUCUCUCAAAUCAGGGGGUGCACUCGCCUCCGGUCGUGCACUCGGCUCUGCUUGGUUAGGCAUCUCUAGUGUUGCGACUCGAUCCCUGGUCGACGGUCAACCUCGGCAGCGAUCUGAAAGAAAAAGAACGGGGUCAGAUACCACUCAAACACUCUCGACCCAAUCAACGAAAGUCUGGAAAGCAGCCCAUAUUUUCCUCUAAAAUUAUGUUGUCUGUAGCCAACAUAAUUUCUCAGGCCAAAACAGGUACUCUUUCAAUCACUCACUCCACUCUCGGAGGAGUUAAAACAACUAAUCAUUGACUUUCGCAAUUAAAUUACGCCUCUCGCGUCUUACUUUCCUAAGGUUUGCCAAACUUAGGUUUUCUAGGUCCCAACGACCUAAUGCUAAUCUCUAAUACCAACUUAAUCUGUCACGCCCCGGAUGUCUCGUUUUCCGGGAACGCCGACAAAUCCGCCGUAUACAAAAAUUUUUUUUCUGUAUACGAAGCGACAGCUGUACCUGUAAAUAUACAAUACUACAAACAGUAGUAUAGAGCUGCUCAAGGAAACAGAACCAAAACAAACUGAGUUUCAUAUACAUAGCUCAAAAACCAAAAUGCUGAGUUACUCGCACUAGCGAGUUAAGUAUACUAUGUACAUAAACUUAAAAUAAAACAACUACCUGCAGUAGGGUGCCUCUAGCUCUGUUCGUCGGGUAGGGCUCUAACUCGCGACGCCCUUGCCUCGAUCCUGAUCUGCGGAAGGCGCAGCAGCCGAAACCUGUGGCUCUGCAAAACAGGGGUAACAACUGGGCGUGAGAACUACUGUAAAAACAAGUAGUCCUCAGUGGGUGCCGCCCAAAACAAUAUCGGUCCACCCACUAAGUCUACAGUAGGGAGCAAAGGUAAUAGGAAAAGCUGGAAAGAAAUCUACAGCUACAUAUCGCUACACUAGCAUGAUCUACACUAACCAACUGUAGUAAAAGUCACAACUGCCCCAAUCUCACUAGGGACUGUGAACACACCCGUCCCGCCUGUCGGAUCGAAUCCGUAACCUACUCCAAGAGUAGCUGGUGGAGAAAACUCUCUAGGGACUGUGAAUACACCCAUCCCGUCUAAUUAGGCGACACCGUAGCUCAAGAGUAACCGGCGGAGAAAACUCUCUAAAGACUGUGAAUACACCCGUCUCGUCUACUAGACUACACUGUAUCUCAAGAGUAACCGGCGGAGAAAACUCUCUAAAGACUGUGAAUACACCCGUCUCGCCUAAUUAGACUACAUCGUAUCUCGAGAGUAGUCGGUUCCAGAAAGGGUCCAACCGGACGGCUAAGACUCCACUCACGCCACAACCUUACUAAAGGUAGGGAAAAGAGUCACUUACUACCUCACCCGGGCUGCCCAAAACGGACCCACCCUGCCUGUAUCUAGCCGCGCCGUACACGACCGCGAGGGUAGCCGGCUCAAGAACUGUCCAACAUAAAUUGCGACACUCAUCGCACUGAAACCUCAUUCCGGAAUGGCAUUCGUGCGUGCGACCCAACGAGUUUACAAGUAUCUCUGUCAAGUUCAUACUGCUCUCACAAGCUAAGGUCAAGUAACCGACUCUAACUGGUCUAACAACCAACAUGCCACGUGCCCUCGACACAAUCCGACGCCAAAACGGCGAUAUGGGUCCACCGUCAACCCCGACGGCACCCAACAGUCCGGAACAGCCUGAACGCUACUGAAAAAAAAUCACUCGGUAUCCUAGCACGAGCGUAAAUGCAUUCUAAACUAUCUGGGGUAUCCGUCACCCCAAUCCUGUGACGAUAUAAAAAUACAACGGCUCCUAGAGCUAAAUCAGAUAGUUUAGGCAUAUGUCGAUCAUUAUCGCGUUUUCUCCUAAGUCAUUUCCAAGUCCCACAUGUAUAAACUAUUUAAUUUACUAUUUCAUGCUCCAAAUUCAGAUUUGCAGUUUACCUAAUAAUCCAUGAAUUCGAGCUAGCAUAACUAUACAAAAAUCGGACAUUUACACAUGUUGACUACUACGCACUUAGGAGUAAAACCGAUGUAAACCCACCUCAAAUGCUAAUCCCUGGCAACGAAGAAGUCACCUAAAUUCAGUCGAGCCCACUCUCAACCAGCAAUCGUAACUCUCCAAUAAUCUGAACCACAAAAGCAUUAAA
rnacentral:lncRNA from 1 species